rnacentral:lncRNA from 1 species
UUAACCAAUUGUACAAUUAUAAGACCAAAUUAAUACUGCAAUAAAAUAGGGAGGAUAAUUUGCAAAUAAAGUAAUCAUAACAUGGACCAAUGCUCAAAGCGCAUAAAUGUAUGGGGACUGAAUUUGUAAAUAUCUCGCGCCUACAAUGCUGCAAGUAACCGCGGAUCAAAGUGAAAUAAAGCACAAAUUAGUAGGCCAAAUUUUAAAACACAAGGUAGGCAAAUUGGGCGCAAAUUGAAGGCUGUGCGCAAGGGGAAGGAUUUCUUGCGCAAAUUCCCCAUUUUUGAGUGGUAAUGCGCAGAUUAGGCCUGUCAAAUGAGUCACCUCGUGGACCUUACUCCAUAAAACUGUGCCAUUUUAUUAAAUAGUCAUUUAAGACCCCUUUUCUUCUAUUUCUUUUCCCCAAACGCAGCCCCCAUUUUAGAUCAAAAGAAAUUCCAGCCUUUAAAAUCAAAUUUUUUAGGGUUUCCUCCACUUGACUGCCAAACCACCAUGAUUUUAGGUGAUUACCAGUAAGCGAGACGUGCCCAAUCUUUCCGUUAAAGGAACUCGACCAGAUCUAAAAGGAUUCGGUAAGUAUUUUCCCUUCUUUCUUCUUUAUUUGAAUGAAGCUUUCAAAUCUCAUGUUAUUUUUUAAAGAAAAAAAUAAAAAUAAAAAUAAAAAUAGAUUUGUAAAAUGAAUAGAUUUCCACUAUUAUGUGACCUCUCGCCCUUAUACUCGCAUGACAGAUUUAGGGCUUUCAUCGGCCUUUAGUUGCAUAAAAAGGAACAAACAAAUAAGAAAAUAAAGAGAAAAGAAAAAACGGGAAAAAAAGAUCAGAAGAGAAAAAAAAAUGAAAUUACCUCUAUUGAUCUAAAUGCACAUUUCUCUCUUUUCUGUACGUGUGUACAGAUAUUGUAUGCGUAGAGUAUAUUCUGUGUGCGUAGUGUGUGUAAUCUCCUCCCUUUACAAAGAUUAAAAGUUGGGCUUUUAUAAUCGAAAAAGGAAAUCAACCGAAAAUAUACAAUAUAUUUGUUUCCAUUCGCUGCUGUUUUUGUUUCUUUCUUGCAGGUACAGAGUCUGUUGGCAUGCGCACGGGGUGGGGGCGUGGCGUACGAGGGCUGUGGAGGUAUGGGACUGCUGUAGUGGAGGUAUGGGUCUAUUGCCCAGUUGCUGUUGAGGCGCAGGAUAGAGGGGUGACUUAGGGUUUGCCGAAACUUGGCUCAAUUUUUGGGGCCAUUUGGGUCUGUUCCAGCUAUUGGGCCGUUGUAUUUGGGCUGGGCUAUGGGGCAUUGGGUAUCAAUAUUGGUUGUAAUAUUUGGACCUUUAUGACAGAUUAUUAGUUUGGUUUCAUUCUUUGGACUUUUGGUUUAAUAAUUUGGUAUUUAUUUUGGGUUUUGGUUCUAACGUGGGCCCGGGCUAAAUUGGCCCAUUAUAGGGAUAUCAAGAAAGGUUCCCACGAGGAUGCUUGUGUAGAGAGCUUAGAAAGAUAAAGGAGAGUUCCCUUUCUCCCAGUAAGUAGGGACAUAUAUAAAUGUUCUCAGACAAGUGUCUUUAUGCCAGCAUUCGCGAUAUGAGUCAUGUGGUUCUGUCGACCCAUGUCCUAAGAUUUGCUUCCUAACCCAUGUGUGACCUCAUAAAGCCUUCUAAGUUUGCAAGAUGAUGGGUCAGUAUACUUUUCAAGUGGUGGACAGUAGUACAUUGCGGGGCUCCUAUCAUUAGUGAGGUGAUGAAUCUUUGUAGUGUAGACAUCUAGCACGAUUUCAUUGAAGUGAGGUAGAGUGGAUUUUAGGCAUAUAAUAAUCCCCCCAAAGUUGAGAGGAAGGUUAUAAAGUGACCUUCCCUAAGACUAAAAAAUUCUUCUUUUUCUUCUUCUUUUUUCUUUUUAUGGGUGAGAUUCAAUUUGAGCCAAGUUUAUAGGGUGUUUGUGUAAGUAUUGACGAAGCUGGUGAAGAGUCACGUAUGAGAUGUAUGUGUGGUUGGGAAAUGCUAGGAUAUAUGUAAAAGUUGCAUGUGUAAGCCACAAAAGGAGAACCACGUUUAGUCUUUUUAUGGCAACUUAAAAUUUACGUUGUGAAUGCAUGUCGUACUUGGACUGGGCAAAUGAAACAGUAGAUAGGAUUGUGUCCUUUGAGAAACAUUAUGAAAAGGGUAUAAAUUUGUAGAGGAUGUGUGAGAAAAUUUUAGUUGCCAUUGUAAUAGUGUUUUUGUGCUUAUUCCUUUGAGCUUUUCUAGUGCAUUUUCAAGUUGGCAAAAGAUUUGUCCAAUUAAGGAAGUUUAAUAUUGGUAAGUUUUCUACUAAAUUUUUUAAGGUUUGUAGGUUUGGAAACUUUAAUUGUAGUUUUGCAAUUUUAAAAUUGGAUGUUUGUGAAUAAAUUGCAAAAUUGUACAUAAAAUGGUUAGGGGCCGAAAUAUUGAGUGGAGGGUAAAGGUGGAAGGAAUGUGAAAAGAUAAAAGAGAAGGGUUUGAUCUAGUAGACAUGCAUGGUGAAACAUAAAGAUGUUGCUGUCCCCAUUGAAGGAGAUGUUUUUGAAUGCUACACCAAUCCUGAUUUUCUAAGGCAUAUACUGGCCAUAAGGGAUUGGAGAGAGAGAACCCCAAAGUCAAAUUUAUUAUCUCUGAUGGAUCCAUGUGCUUAAGUUGUACUAAUGAAUCAAAUUAUGGUAAAAAUGUAACUCCCCAUUACUCGACCCAAUCGUCUGAUCCGAGCUAUAAGAUGUCACAUUCAUUGCUUGAGCAAUUACAAUCUAUAACAUUCAAUUUAGCACUAAUAUAGAUUCAUUUACAAAUAAAUCAUGUGUAUUAAACAAUGUAGUCAUUUCUGAAUCUUAUACAAGCUUACGUAAGGUCUUUUGCUAACUCGAGUUUGUUAUGGACCAAAAUGUAAA